GUUUCAGUAGAAGGAAGAGGUGGGAUUGUAUACUCUGAGCUCUGGGAGUGUCUGACUGUAACUCUCAUGGCUGUUUUACCUCUAGUCCAGCGUUGGUCUCUAACGGUAAAUGUGGGACAGCCUUCAAACAGUUUCUGGGAAUCAACGAACUCACGGCUGUCAGAUGAAGAGUCCCAUGGCCUUACAGUUCAUCCUUUUCUGUCUACUGUGAUGAGGCUUGGAAUUUCAUCCCUGAGCUCAACUAGUCGUACACAGAGGUAUAUGCCUGUAAUCCCAGCACUUGGGAACUUGGGAAGGCAGAAGCAGGUAGAUCUCUGUGAGAUCAAGGCCAGCCUGGUCAACAAAGUGAGUCCAGGACAGCCAAGGCUACACAGACAAACCCUCUCUCAUACAAAACCAACCAAACGACUGACGGACUGAUCAACUGAACAAAAUACUUUGCAAUUCAAAGGUGGCUUUUGAAUAGACAAUUUGAGUAAUAUUUACAGGGUUCUUUGUUUACUUCAAGGCUGGUGUCCCAACUCUAGCCUAGAUAACAUGGAGGAAUAUCAGAGAUGAAUGAGCCCUGAAAAGUUGUGACUCAAAAGGUUGCUUGGACGCCAUUCCUUUCACUUUCCCUGUUCUCACCAUCAUGUCCUCUUCCUGCUUGGCAUCUACUACCUGUUUGCUGGGCCAAUGGGAGUUGAUAAACGGCUGUUUCUUGAAGAGCCAGCAGGUACAGUUAAUGUGGCUGUUGAUGAAUUCCUGACUUGCCCACCACGGCUUGCCACUGGAGAGAAGUUCAAAGUCCACCAUCCUGUCUCCGGUAGGGCUGGUCCCAAUGCAUUCUCUAGCUACCUCUACAGCUGCAGAGAAAGGCUGUUGGGACUUGAAGAGCUGCAAAUGCUGGCAUGUUUAGAAUUAGAUUAUCACUCUCUGGAAAGUUUUGCAUUGCUCUUAAGUUCGUGAAAAGUCAUGUUUUCACCACCUCAGGGGGCCCAAGGCAAACAUGUGGAAGAUUUCUGCCCGAGUCUGUUUGGAAGCUUUUGAUGGAUGAAAGACACAUGUAUUCUAGCCUCACUUCUGCUGGGUCUGUGUGGGGAGGUGUGGUUUUAUUUUCAACACACACACACACACACACACACGUACACACAAAGUCAUAUACUCACACACAUUCACUGACAUGUAGACAUACACACAACCUCAAAUACACAAAUGAUGGAAAUGAAAGCAAAAUUUCCAGAGAGAGGUCAAGAGGUAUUACUAAAAUGUAUUCCAUUUAGAAAUAACCAAUGAACACGUAUCACUGAAAAGUGGUGGGCUUGAAUGAGUCAGUAAAUAGAGGUAGCAUCCCUUUGACUCUAGCUGCCUUUGGUUCACAUUUGUGAUAACAUGGGGUAGAUAUGUUCAUGCAAACAGCUUUCUUCAUUCCUGCAGUAAAACCUGAUCCAGGAAGAAUGGAAAACUCUGGCCAGAGUUUUAAUGACUAGGCUCUGGUUAUAGAUGGAUUUGUAGCCAAAUUAUGCCAGAAGAAUGAAUGCUGUUUCAGCAAAUGCCAAGCCAAACAAGCUCAUGAUGUGGGCUUUAUCAUGUCAUUCUUGUAUCAGAAAGACCUUCCUAGAUGUUUUUUUAAACAGUCUGGACUUAUUGGUUGGAAGUUACCACACAGGUGGCUCUUUGGUCAUGUCAUGUUACCUUUAGGAAUUUUAUUUACUUAGAAUUUAUUUACUUGUAACAAAACAAGACUGAAAAUGGUCCCAGCACCUGGGGGCAAUUACGUAGGGACACUCUGUGAAGAAAAUGAAUUCUUCCUUUUAUCAUCUUUAGGCUAUAAUGGAAAUGGCCUGGAACAAUGCCUGUGAUGCCUGCCAGAGCAAAGGAAGCAUGAGUCUUGUUCAUUGUUAAAGAGCCUCCUUGUCUGGAUGUCUGUUUUUAUUAGGAACCAUAUAUUUAUCUUACAUGAACUUAUAACCCAAUGAUAAACGACCUGGCUGCUAAGCUGGUUUCUUAGCCCAAGCCUUUCCUCUAGGCCAGCUUCGGAUAAGCCUGUAUCUCCUGGCCACUGGAUCCUGCAAUCUCCCCUCUUGUGUGCUAUGGUAAGGACCUUUUAACUCUAGUUUGAACACUUGUGACUAAUUGAUGAGAAUGGCCAGAAACAGAGAGAAAAGGUGUCUGGUAGGCCUGGUUCUGACCCAUGUCUCAUCUUAAUAUGGCAGGCAAGACCAUUGUUACUACCAUCUCAUUGACGGCUGUUGGAGCUACCACCAGGGCAUUAGCCAUGAGUCAUACUGGGCAGACUGCUCAGACCCUGAACAAUCAUUUAGCCAAUGUAGCUCAUGCCUUAGUUGUACAUAAAGGAAUUAAUGCUCAACUAAAAGGAAGCUUGAUGGUGUUCAAUCAGAGGAUUGACCUCUUGCAGGAGCAAAUUGAUACCCUAUGGCAAAUCGCUCAA